rnacentral:misc_RNA from 1 species
CCGUCUGACCACAACGUAAAAACAUGUAGAAUCUUGCCGGUGUCAAUUCGAAUUGAACAGUUGUGGGUCGAAGAUGAGUAUUGAUUCAAGUCGUAGGAUUAAAUAGCUUUUAGUACUGGUUUGUUCUUCCAAUUAGAAGUCAUGUGAAAGUGUUUAAGAAUGUAAUCUAUCAUAGAUGUGCCGGAGUUCGUGAUUGAACAUAUCUAGAUUUCAAGAGUGACCUCUACUCAAGGUGUGUGGCUUUAUCUGACUGACUUUUGUCCAUUUUUUAUGUGAGUGGGCACCAUUGGGGUUGGGUGCAUGUGGUGGUGGCAUCUUCCAUGCUAUCUUGGUUCCCAAUUGAAUUUGUUUGCUACAAGGAACACAUCUUUCCUGUACAAUGGUGGAUGACCAGUUGACAGCAUGUAUUGGAUCUGGGCUUUUGACUGGUUUUCUGGUGAUUUUUCAUCUCUGCAAUGGGGACUGUAGUGAUAUGGAGUUUCUGGAUUUUUUCGUGUUUCGUCGUCUGGUGCUUCGUUGUUGCUGCAAGGAUUCGAAUCGUGGUCUUUCCAGGGUUUGCCGGCGUUGCUUUGUCGUGUACAGUUCGUGACGCUGUUUCAAACUGGGUUGGGGCAGUCUGUGGUUUUGAGGUGGAUUCCGUACCUUAGGUGUUGACUUGGUGGGUUUGCCGUUCGUCGUGUUGGAAAUGUGGCAUUCGAGUGGCGCUGUGUCGCUGUUCUAGCCUUGGAUCUGCUGUGGCGAUCAUCUGCAGACGUUUCCUUAUGGGUCUGGUGUCACGUUCACCGUGGGGUCGGAACGGCGUGUGGUGUUCUUAUCGAACUGUAUGCUUCCAGACUUCAGGUGUUCUGCUGGUGGGGUUGUCGAUUCAGUUUUUCGGCGUGUACGGAGUGCGGCAAUUACUUCAUGCCAUGCAGUUUCCCUUGCUGUUGUGGUGUAAUUCGCUUUUCUUUUCGCAUUUUGCUAUUCGGAUGAUUAACUCUUAUACCGCCCCAGACUGAAGGGUUGUGUUGAGUGGUAACACGCUGACCGUAGGUUUGUUGUGGCAAAUUGCUGUCGGCAUAUCGUCAUGGCGCCAUUAUGGGACCGAAUUGGUUGCAGAUCCAGCUAUGGAGCCGUUGAUUGUGCUCUAGAUGGCCUUUUCCAUUCCCCCGGUUCUGUUUGACUAGUUGCCAGCAACUAAUCGUGUUACCGCUCCCUUCUAGUGAGCACUUUUGUUCUUUAUUUUAAAACAAUGAAUUCUAUGGUCACGCUAGUAUAAUCGACGGGAUUAAGUAUCUCAUUUAGCGUUUCUUGCUCUUUAAGCUGGGGUUAUGGUUUGUUCUUUACCGGAAUGAUGUGUUGAUUAUUGGUACGUGUUAAUGAUCAGAUGAUUUAAUUUUUUGCGACGUUUGCGACGAAUUGCGACGAAUUGCGACGUGGGGCAGUCGACGGAUAUGUAAUCAGGAGUUCACUGGUGCGGUUGCUGUGGAGAUUGGUUACGUACAACAUUCUUGGUAUGCUGCUUGGCGUGGGCGUCGUUCAAUUCGAGAAUGGUUUGGAUCAAGACUGACUCACGGAUUUAAGAUGAGCUUGAAUUUUUGUUGUGACAUUUAACUUUUUACCGUUUGCAUCAAUAUGUUCUAACGUAUUCUAUUCCCUCUUCGUCCUCUAAUGUUUGUUUCAUGACAGGAUUAAAUUAGUUGGAGAUUUAGCUAUGGAGCUUUCGGUCUAUGUUAGAUGGUCUGUUCAUUCCGUCGAUCUUUUUGGGUAGUUGCUGCUAUUCGUGAUACCAUUUCCUUCUGAUGACAUUUGUUUCAUUUUUCGUGAUCUAUUAUUCCUUUUGUCACGUCUUUAUACUCCAUGGCCUAUGUAACGGUCUUCCCUAAUGUUCUUGGGCUAUGGAGGGUUUCUUGUGGGUCGUUGUUGAUUAUUAAAUGAUUUGACUGGUA